GACGAACGCUGGCGGCGUGCCUAAUACAUGCAAGUAGAACGCUGAAGAGAGGAGCUUGCUCUUCUUGGAUGAGUUGCGAACGGGUGAGUAACGCGUAGGUAACCUGCCUUGUAGCGGGGGAUAACUAUUGGAAACGAUAGCUAAUACCGCAUAACAAUGGAUGACACAUGUCAUUUAUUUGAAAGGGGCAAUUGCUCCACUACAAGAUGGACCUGCGUUGUAUUAGCUAGUAGGUGAGGUAAUGGCUCACCUAGGCGACGAUACAUAGCCGACCUGAGAGGGUGAUCGGCCACCCUGGGACUGAGACACGGCCCAGACUCCUACGGGAGGCAGCAGUAGGGAAUCUUCGGCAAUGGGGGCAACUCUGACCGAGCAACGCCGCGUGAGUGAAGAAGGUUUUCGGAUCGUAAAGUUCUGUUGUAAGUCAAGAACGGGUGUGAGAGUGGAAAGUUCACACUGUGACGGUAGCUGACCAGAAAGGGACGGCUAACUACGUG
rnacentral:rRNA from 1 species